GGCCGGGUGGUUUAGUGGUCAGGACGUUAACCUCCUAAGCUGAAGAGGCGGGUUCGAUUCCCGCCUCGGCCA